rnacentral:lncRNA from 1 species
GGGGAAUUUUGAUGUAUCACAAAAACCAGCAUCCAGUUGAUGUGACUCUUCUUCCAGGGUCCUGCCCACAAGAAAGAUUGUGACAUCUCACUGGACAAGCACCCACCCAGACUCUGCCAAGAGAGGGGAUUAUUACAUAUUGCAGAGCCCAGCACCUAGGUGGAGUGACUCUCAUCUUUUUCUUCUACCCCGUAUAUAGCCAGCUUGGUGACCUACUAUUUGAGUCUAUACCCAGGCCCAGACCACAGAUGAAAUUGUGCAAUAUGUGGAACAAACACCUAAACAAUAUAUAACACCUUCCUUGGCUCUGUCUACAAAGGGCACUUUUAUAUAUCACUGGGACCAUCAACCAGGUGAUGUUAAUUAUCUUCCUGAAACCUGUCUACAAAGAGAGUUGUGUCGUAUACCUAGGCCCGUCAUGUAAGUGAUGUCAGUCCCUUCUACUGCCUUGGCCCUGCACUUACAGUGCAUUGUGACACAUAACAAGGUACUGCACACAGACGAUGUGAUUCUCCUUUUUGGGUUCUGCCAAAAGGAAGCAUUGUAAUAAAUCGCUUGGCUCAGUACCAAGGUGAUGUUUCUUUGCUUUUGCCUGGGCCCUGAUAACAGGGAGAUUGUGAUCUAUUGCUGGGCCCAACAAAAAUGUGAGGUCACUCUCCAGCCGUGGUACUUCACAUAAGCGCCAUUGUGACAUGUAUCUAGGCCAAUUGCCUAGGUGAAGUGAGUUUCCUCUCUUGCCAAAGUCCUGCCCACAGAGGGGGUUUUGAUAUGUCACUGAAAUCAGCAUUCAGGUGAUGUGACUCUUCUGCCAGGGUCCUGCGUACUAGGUGGAUUGUGACAUCUCACUGGACCCGCAACCAUGUAGGUCAUGUGACUUUCAUGCCUUCUCACUGGCCACAGGUGAUGUUGUGCCAUAUAACUGAGACCGUAUCAAAAGCCUAAUAACAAGACGUAUGUCUGGAGCCCCGAUAUGCACAGGAUGGUGAUAUAACCCUCUUCUCUGGAAUGGGCCCCACACAAAGGAAGGAUAGUGACAUAUUGCAAGCCCAGGCACACAGGCCCAGAGCACAGUUGAAAUUGUGACAUAUGUACACCAAGCAACCAAGCAAUGUAUAACACCUCAUUUGGCAAUGGAAUCGAGGGCACUUUUACAUAUCACUGAGACCAGCGCCCAGCUGAUGUGAAAUAUUGGCCUGAACCCUGCCUACAAAAGCAUUGUGGCUUUUAUCUAGCUCCAUUACAUAAGUGAUGUGACUUCCUUCUACUGCCUUGGCCCUGCACUUAUGGUGAAUCGUGACACAAAAUUGGGUAGAGCAACCAGCCUGGGCCCUGACCAGCACAGAGAUUGAGGCAUAUUGCUGAACCCAGGACCAAGAUGAAGUCACUCUCCUGCCUUGAUCCUGCACACAGGGACCCUUGUGACAUAUAUACAGGCCAAUUGCCUAGGUGAUGUUGUGCAAUAUACCUGAGACCAGAUCAAUGGCCUAAUAAUGACUCUUUUACCUAGA